rnacentral:rRNA from 1 species
AUGGCGUCCCGUACCCGUAGGGGCGCCGGCCCCCUACCGCGCCUCUGUCUCCUCCUCCUGCUCGUGCUGGCCACGGGGCUGCCGCGGGGCGGGGCGUUGGGGCUGAAGCUGCCGUUCAGCCCCGGGGACGUCCUCCCGAUCCUGCCGCGGCAGGUGGCGUGGCCCGUGAUGAACACCCUCCACAGCGCCGUCGACCUCCUGCCCUCCUUCGUCGCCGCCGUGGCCCCGGCCGCACCCUCCCCCGCCGUCUGGAACGGCUCCUGCUUCGCCGUGAACGAGGCGGCCCUUGAGCUCACCCCCGGCGACCGCAACGGGACCGAGAUCGGCGGCGCCGUGCUCCGCCUCAAGACUGCUUCUGCUCAAAGCUGGACGUGCAUGGAUCUUUAUGUGUUUGCAACACCAUAUAGGAUAACAUGGGAUUACUAUUUUGCGGCUCGAGAACACACUUUGGAGAUAACGUCAUGGGAGGAAGAAGCAGAGCUGGAAUAUGUUAAGCAGCAUGGUGUGUCUGUUUUUCUCAUGCCAUCUGGGAUGCUUGGAACUUUGUUAUCUUUGAUUGAUGUCCUGCCCUUGUUUUCGAAUACUGGAUGGGGUCAAAAUUCCAACUUGGCCUUUUUAGAGAAGCACAUGGGAGCUACAUUUGAGAAACGUUCUCAACCUUGGUUUGCUAAUAUUAUGAAGGAGGACAUACAAUCUGGUGACUUUUUGGCUCUAUCAAAGAUUCGAGGACGAUGGGGUGGGUUUGAGACAUUAGAGAAAUGGGUAACUGGUGCAUUUGCUGGGCAUACUGCUGUGUGCUUGAAAGAUGAGAACGGUGAUGUUUGGGUUGCAGAAUCAGGCUUUGAGAAUGAAAAGGGAGAGGAAAUUAUUGCUAUAGUUCCUUGGGAUGAAUGGUGGGAAAUGGCACUGAAGGAUGGAUCAAAUCCUCAGAUAGCCCUUUUGCCAUUACACCCUGAUAUACGCUCUAGAUUCAAUGAAAGUGCCGCAUGGGACUUUGCACGGAGCAUGGUCGGAAAGCCGUAUGGCUAUCAUAAUAUGAUAUUUAGCUGGAUUGAUACAAUAGGAGAUAAUUAUCCUCCUCCUCUUGAUGCUAAUCUGGUAAUGGCUGUUAUGUCAAUGUGGACUAGAUUGCAACCACUUUAUGCUGCGAACAUGUGGAAUGAAGCCCUUAACAAAAGACUUGGGACUGAGGGUUUGGACCUUCAGGGUAUCAUUCUUGAGACUGAAAAGCGUGGCAUGUCUUUCGAUCAGUUGCUCACCAUCCCUGAACAAGAUGAAUGGGUAUACAGUGAUGGUAAAUCAACUACUUGUGUUUCCUUCAUUCUUGCGAUGUACAAGGAAGCUGGAGUAUUUGCUCCUUUCACAGAAUCAAUUCAAGUCACCGAGUUCACUAUACGGGAUGCAUAUAUGCUCAAGAUAUUUGAAGACGACCGGACCAGGCUCCCAAGCUGGUGUCGUACUGAGGCAGACAAGCCUCCCUUCUGCCAGAUACUUGGGGAGUACAGGAUGGAGCUACCAGAGUACAACACGAUAGAGCCGUACGCAAAAAUGAACGAGAACUGCCCAUCCUUACCCCCGACGUACAAGCGACCAUCGCGCUGCUGA